rnacentral:rRNA from 1 species
GCUCAGGAUGAACGCUAGCGGCAGGCUUAACACAUGCAAGUCGCGGGGCAGCGCGGGUAGCAAUACCUGGGCGGGCGACCGGCGGAAGGGUGCGUAACGCGUGAGCAACAUGCCCGUCUCAGGGGGAUAACCGAUGGAAACGUCGCCUAAUACCCCGUAACAACAGACCCCGCAUGAGGUUUGUUUGAAAGCUCCGGCGGAGACGGAUUGGCUCGCGUGACAUUAGCUUGUUGGCGGGUAACGGCCCACCAAGGCUACGAUGUCUAGGGGUUCUGAGAGGAAGGUCCCCACACUGGAACUGAGACACGGUCCAGACUCCUACGGGAGGCAGCAGUGAGGAAUAUUGGUCAAUGGGCGAAAGCCUGAACCAGCCAUGCCGCGUGCAGGAAUGAGGCCCUAUGGGUCGUAAACUGCUUUUGCUGCGGAGCAAUAAGGUGCACGUGUGCACCGAUGAGAGUACGCGGCGAAUAAGCAUCGGCUAACUCCGUGCC